CGGGAGGCAGCAGUGGGGAAUAUUGCACAAUGGGCGAAAGCCUGAUGCAGCUAUGCCGCGUGUAUGAAGAAGGCCUUAGGGUUGUAAAGUACUUUCAUCGGGGAGGAAAAAACAAAACUAAUAAUUUUAUUUCUUGACGUUACCCGAAAAAGAAGCACCGGCUAACUCCGUGCCAGCAGCCGCGGUAAUACGGAGGGUGCUAGCGUUAAUCAGAAUUACUGGGCGUAAAGAGCACGUAGGUGGUUUUUUUAAAGUCAGAUGUGAAAUCCCUGGGCUUAACCUGGAACUGCAUUUUGAAACUGAAAUACUAGAGUAUCGUAGAGGGAGGUAGAAUUCUAGGUGUAGCGGUGAAAUGCGUAGAUAUCUGGAGGAAUACCUGUGGCGAAAGCGGCCUCCUAAACGAAUACUGACACUGAGGGUGCGAAAGCGUGGGGAGCAAACAGGGAUUAGAUACC
rnacentral:rRNA from 1 species